CCUACGGGGGGCAGCAGUGGGGAAUAUUGCACAAUGGGGGAAACCCUGAUGCAGCAACGCCGCGUGAGUGAUGACGGCCUUCGGGUUGUAAAGCUCUGUCUUCAGGGACGAUAAUGACGGUACCUGAGGAGGAAGCCACGGCUAACUACGUGCCAGCAGCCGCGGUAAUACGUAGGUGGCAAGCGUUGUCCGGAUUUACUGGGCGUAAAGGGAGCGUAGGCGGAUCUUUAAGUGGGAUGUGAAAUACUCGGGCUCAACCUGAGUGCUGCAUUCCAAACUGGAGAUCUAGAGUGCAGGAGGGGAGAGUGGAAUUCCUAGUGUAGCGGUGAAAUGCGUAGAGAUUAGGAAGAACACCAGUGGCGAAGGCGACUCUCUGGACUGUAACUGACGCUGAGGCUCGAAAGCGUGGGGAGCGAACAGGAUUAGAUACCCGGGUAGUC
rnacentral:rRNA from 1 species